rnacentral:rRNA from 1 species
GACGAACGCUGGCGGCGUGCUUAACACAUGCAAGUCGAACGGAAAGGCCCUGCUUUUGUGGGGUGCUCGAGUGGCGAACGGGUGAGUAACACGUGAGUAACCUGCCCUUGACUUUGGGAUAACUUCAGGAAACUGGGGCUAAUACCGGAUAGGAGCUCCUGCUGCAUGGUGGGGGUUGGAAAGUUUCGGCUGUUGGGGAUGGACUCGCGGCUUAUCAGCUUGUUGGUGGGGUAGGGGCUUACCAAGGCUUUGACGGGUAGCCGGCCUGAGAGGGUGACCGGCCACAUUAGGACUGAGAUACGGCCCAGACUCCUACGGGAGGCAGCAGUGGAGAAUAUUGCACAGUGGGCGGAAGCCUGAGGCAGCAGCGCCGCGUGCGGGAUGACGGCCUUCGGGUUGUAAACCGCUUUCGCCUGUGACGAAGCGUGAGUGACGGUAAUGGGUAAAGAAGCACCGGCUAACUACGUG